UACGAAGGGUGCAAGCGUUACUCGGAAUUACUGGGCGUAAAGCGUGCGUAGGUGGUUUGUUAAGUCUGUUGUGAAAGCCCCGGGCUCAACCUGGGAAUGGCAAUGGAUACUGGCAGGCUAGAGUGCGGUAGAGGGUAGUGGAAUUCCUGGUGUAGCGGUGAAAUGCGCAGAUAUCAGGAAGAACACCCGUGGCUAAGGCGGCUCUCUAGUACGGUACUGACGCUGAGACGCGAAAGCGUGGGGAGCGAACAGG
rnacentral:rRNA from 1 species